UGAUUGGUUCAAUCGCCGGAAGUACACAACAGUGGCUACAUCCCCUCGGCUAACGUUUUGUGUUUGUUAGCUUCAUAAACCACACAGUUUGUCGUCAUUAUUGUCACUUUUAUUUUUUUUUUAAAAAGGCGUCAAUGUUUCACUUAAUGUUAUGAUACGCGCUUAAGUUGGGCGGGUAAAAGACAAAUGGCGUACAAGCUGUCCCUCCAGUCCAAGCUGUCCUCCAUCAUGGAGGCGAUGGCCACCUCCGCCCUGGCUCAGGUCGUCAAGGCGGUGGACGAAGAUGCGGUGGAGCUGCGCCUGGAGGUGUCUCGGCUCCAGACUCUCAACUCGGCCCUGGCGGAGAAGGUCGACGAGCUGGAGUACGAGCUGACGGCCGCCAGGGAUGACGCCCCCAAGCUGGGUAAAAGUCACCGAACCGUCGCGAUCCAGACAGACGCCGAUUCUGACGAAUCCCAGUCUCCUGUCAUAGAGGGAGUCUUUGGACAAGACUGGUGCCUAAACCUGUGGAAAGACAGAUUUCAUGGCGGUCAAAAGAACGACAACACAACAUCUCAGCACAUGGACGAUACUAUGGAUAUGUCCAUACCUCUCGACAGUUUUUCUUCAAGCGACUCAACGGAGCUGGAAAAAGGCGCAGAGUUUUGGAGUUUUGAGUCUCUGUCAGAGGCGGUGGAACGCUGGCAGAAGUCAAAUUUGGUGGAGCUCUAUAAGCGCAGUUCCAGGAGCGUGGAAAACGCCUCAAAGCGGGCGAGGAAGAAAUUGUACAGCCGGGAUUUAGUUUUCGCCGAGCUGGACUUUGCCUGCAUUCACGGCAGCAGAGGCCCUGCUCUAAAACGGUGUCCGUUCACCAUCAAAGUGCGAGUUACACCUGAUGGAAGGAAGCUGUUUGUAAAGGACAUUAGUAGUGUGGAUUGCCACAACCAUGGUCUGUCUCGAGUAUUAAUGACCGGGUCUGAUCAAUUGGACGUGAUUCAAGUCAAAGUAGAAGAUUACAUGCAGGGUGCUGCCGGCAGCUUCCAUCAAGAAAUGUUUGGUCAUGAAACUCACAACAGUACACCGUGGACUAUCCGGGAGGUGCAGACCUUACUCAGCAUCCUCGCCGAAGACAAGGUGCAUCAGGAUCUGGUGGGCGCGGUGCGCAACAAGAAAGUCUUCCAGCUGGUCUCGCGAAGAAUGGCCGCCGAGGGCUUCCACAGGACAUGCGGGCAGUGCCAACUGAAAUGCAAAAAGCUGCGGUCCGACUACAGAAAGAUAAAACAGCAGAACCGGCGAAAGGCUUGGAGGUGGUUCGAUCUGGUGGACGCCGUUUAUGGCCGCAGGCCGGCUAUUGAGAAGAGCGCAGGACACAUGCACACGACGAAUUCUUUGCUGCAGGCCAUGGGGGAAUCUGUCGUUGAAAAUCCGGACUCCAGCUGCGACAACGGCGAGCAGAUCACCUCGCCGGACGGUUCGCCCAUGAGGGCCCCGGCAGAACCAGGACCAUCAACCCAGUCCGCCCCUCGCCUUCAUGCACCUUCUACAAAGACGAAGAGUGAGGACUGCGUUGUGGACGUGGAGCUGGACGAAAUGUCCGCGCCGGCGCACGAACGGAACUUCCAGGUGUACACGGAGGACGCCCAACAGGAGGCCCAGCUGGUCAGACAAAAUCUGGAUCAGUCGGCCGCCGUCAACCAGGGCUUUUUCAGGGUUUUCCAUUCCAAGGUGAAGCCGAACUGAACCUUAUUUAUAGUAUCGCAAAUCCUCUCCUGUAGUUCUAAAUUAUUGUGUACCCGUGGUAUAUAAGUAAGUUGUUCAAGAGGGCGACGAGGCAGUAAUUCGCUGUAUUGUUUAUAAUAACUCUUCUGCUUUUUUUACACAAUGUAUGGAAGACAUGACCCACAAAGGAAUAACCUGUUACAUUACGGUGUGGGACCAAGAGCUCUUGAACAAAAUUGGCAAUAAUGUGGAGGAAAUGAUGAAAUAUGGCUGCCAGAUGCAUUGUUGCAGGUUGUAGCAAUACAACUAAAGAAGGGGUGAGCCUGCAUACAUUUCAAAAUGAUGGGAAUGCGAGCAAAGUGUGGCUCUCUCCGGUCAAAAUGGGACGCACCAAACGAGAGUUGUGGGAUUUGCAGCCAUCCUUUGAAUUAUCCUGACUUCAAAGAAGACGGAUUUUGGUCAAAGUUUGGGUAAAAAAAAAAAAAAUGCAAUCCUGAUAAUCAGGUCUACCCUCAAGGGGAGAAAGACAAGUCAGAAGAACAUGUAAAAACACAGAAAGAGGAACAGCGAAAAUGUAAGGUAAGCCGUUAAUCUUCUAAUUUGCGUCCUCUUCUACUGAUGUUUUCCUGAAGAUACCCGAGGAAACACUUUAAAGGCCUACUGAAAUGAGAUUUUCUUAUUUGAUAGGGGAUAGCAGGUCCAUUCUAUGUGUCAUACUUGAUCAUUUCGCGAUAUUGCCAUAUUUUUGCUGAAAGGAUUUAGUAGAGAACAUCCACGAUAAAGUUUGCAACUUUUGGUCGCUAAUAAAAAAAGCCUUGCCUGUAGCAGACGAUGUGCGCGUGACGUCACUGGUUGUAGGGCUCCUCACAUCCUCACAUUGUUUAUAAUGUGAGCCACCAGCAGCAAGAGCUAUUCGGACAGAGAAAGCGACAAUUUCCCCAUUAAUUUUAGCGAGAAUGAAAGAUUCGUGGAUGAGGAAAUUUAGAGUGAAGGACUAGAAAGCGAUUCAGAUGUUUUUAGACAUAUUUUACUAGGAUCAUUCUGGGAAACCCCUUAUGUUUCUAUUGUGUUGCUAGUGUUUUAGUGAGUUAAAUAGUACCUGAUAGUCGGAGGGGUGUGGCCACGGUUGUGUUGACGCCAGUCUCUGAGGGAAGUCACGGCAGCUGCAGCACGACAGAAGCUCCGCUGAUCUCCGGUAAGAGGCGACUUAUUUCCACAAUUUUCUUUAGUAGAGAACAUCGACGAUAAAGUUCGCAACUUUUGGUCGCUAAUAAAAAAGCCUUGCCUGUACCGGAAGUAGCAGACGAUGUGCGCGUGACGUCACUGGUUGUAGGGCUCCUCACAUCCUCACAUUGUUUAUAAUGUGAGCCUCCAGCAGCAAGAGCUAUUCGGACCGAGAAAGCGACAAUUUCCCCAUUAAUUUGAGCGAGGAUGAAAGUUUCGUGGAUGAGGAAAUUUAGAGUGAAGGACUAGAAAGCGAUUCAGAUGUUUUUAGACAUAUUUACUAGGAUCAUUCUGGGAAAUCCCUUAUCUUUCUAUUGUGUUGCUAGUGUUUUAGUGAGUUAAAUAGUACCUGAUAGUCGGAGGGGUGUGGCCACGGGUGUGUUGACGCCAGUCUCCGAGGGAAGUCGCGGCAGCUGCAGCACGACAGAAGCUCCGCUGAUCUCCGGUAAGAGGCGACUUAUUUCCACAAUUUUCUUUAGUAGAGAACAUCGACGAUAAAGUUCACAACUUUUGGUCGCUAAUAAAAAAGCCUUGCCUGUACUGGAAGUAGCAGACGAUGUGCGCGUGACGUCACUGGUUGUAGGGCUCCUCACAUCCUCACAUUGUUUAUAAUGUGAGCUUCCAGCAGCAAGAGCUAUUCGGACCGAGAAAGCGACAAUUUCCCCAUUAAUUUGAACGAGGAUGAGCGAUUUGUGGAUGAGGAAAUUUAGAGUGAAGGACUAGAAAGCGAUUCGGAUGUUUUUAGACAUAUUUUACUAGGAUAAUUCUGGGAAAUCCCUUAUCUUUCUAUUGUGUUGCUAGUGUUUUAGUGAGUUAAAUAGUACCUGAUAGUCGGAGGGGUGUGGCCACGGUUGUGUUGACGCCAGUCUGAGGGAAGUCACGGCAGCUGCAGCACAGCAGAAGCUCCGCUGAUCUCCGGUAAGAGGCGACUUAUUUCCACAAUUUUCUUUAGUAGAGAACAUCGACGAUAAAGUUCGCAACUUUUGGUCGCUAAUAAAAAAGCCUUGCCUGUACCGGAAGUAGCAGACGAUGUGCGCGUGACGUCACGGGUUGUAGGGCUCCUCACAUUGUUUAUAAUGUGAGCCUCCAGCAGCAAGAGCUAUUCGGACCGAGAAAGCGACAAUUUCCCCAUUAAUUUGAGCGAGGAUGAAAGAUUCGUGGAUGAGGAAAUUUAGAGUGAAGGACUAGAAAGCGAUUCAGAUGUUUUUAGACAUAUUUACUAGGAUAAUUCUGGGAAAUCCCUUAUAUUUCUAUUGUGUUGCUAGUGUUUUAGUGAGUUAAAUAGUACCUGAUAGUCGGAGGGGUGUGGCCACGGGUGUGUUGACGCCAGUCUCUGAGGGAAGUCACGGCAGCUGCAGCACGGCAGAAGCUCCGCUGAUCUCCGGUAAGAGGCGACUUAUUUCCACAAUUUUCUUUAGUAGAGAACAUCGACGAUAAAGUUCGCAACUUUUGGUCGCUAAUAAAAAAGCCUUGCCUGUACCGGAAGUAGCAGACGAUGUGCGCGUGACGUCACUGGUUGUAGGGCUCCUCACAUCCUCACAUUGUUUAUAAUGUGAGCUUCCAGCAGCAAGAGCUAUUCGGACCGAGAAAGCGACAAUUUCCCCAUUAAUUUGAACGAGGAUGAGCGAUUUGUGGAUGAGGAAAUUUAGAGUGAAGGACUAGAAAGCGAUUCAGAUGUUUUUAGACAUAUUUUACUAGGAUCAUUCUGGGAAACCCCUUAUGUUUCUAUUGUGUUGCUAGUGUUUUAGUGAGUUAAAUAGUACCUGAUAGUCGGAGGGGUGUGGCCACGGAUGUGUUGACGCCAGUCUCUGAGGGAAGUCACGGCAGCUGCAGCACGACAGAAGCUCCGCUGAUCUCCGGUAAGAGGCGACUUAUUUCCACAAUUUUCUUUAGUAGAGAACAUCGACGAUAAAGUUCGCAACUUUUGGUCGCUAAUAAAAAAGCCUUGCCUGUACCGGAAGUAGCAGACGAUGUGCGCGUGACGUCACUGGUUGUAGGGCUCCUCACAUUGUUUAUAAUGUGAGCCUCCAGCAGCAAGAGCUAUUCGGACCGAGAAAGCGACAAUUUCCCCAUUAAUUUUAGCGAGGAUGAAAGAUUUGUGGAUGAGGAAAUUUAGAGUGAAGGACUAGAAAGCGAUUCAGAUGUUUUUAGACAUAUUUUACUAGGAUAAUUCUGGGAAAUCCCUUAUCUUUCUAUUGUGUUGUUAGUGUUUUAGUGAGUUAAAUAGUACCUGAUAGUCGGAGGGGUGUGGCCACGGGUGUGUUGACGCCAGUCUCUGAGGGAAGUCACGGCAGCUGCAGCACGACAGAAGCUCCGCUGAUCUCCGACCUUCGAUGGCCUUGAAGGAGGUAUUCAAAAAGGACAUAAAGCAAGUAACAUGCCAUGCGGAUGAGGUCAGCGGUUCAAUGAGGUAUUCACAAUACGGUAAGUGCCAUGUAGAUGACCGCCCCAAUGUACCCCACAUCUGGAUUCAAACCAUUUUCAGAUAUGUGAAAUGCUGUGAGAAAGAUAACAAUUGUUCCUAAUAGACUUACGAAGUGUGUUGUGAACACGCACACUCUCACACAACACUAUUAGGGGGAAAGAGAACAGCUUUCGUUGUAAAGGCCUGUUGGGGCUAAUAAUCAUUUCACCACAGUAAAAUUAAGCAAAAACAGAAAUGUGCUCCACUUGUUUGACUUUUGCAGCUUUACAGAUUAAGUUCCUCCGUCAAUUCUUGAGAGUGUUAAGGUGACACUGAAAAUUGGGAAAACAUGUUAGAUUGCUGAAUAUUAUCCAUCCAUUUUCUACCGUUUAUUCCCUUUGGGGUGGUGGGGGGCGCUGGAGCCUAUCCCAGCUACUAACGGGCGGAAGGCGGGGUACACCCUGGACAAGUCGCCAGUGCAUUUUAUGAAAAUUAUUUUAACAGGGAUUUUUUCACUUUGUUUUCGUUUAAAUUCUAGUAAAUUUUUUUUUUUUUGUCUUUUCUCUCCUAUUAUAAUUAUUUAAACAUUUUAUUGAUCGUCUUUAUACUCCAAUUAGUUUUUUUCUCAGUACAUUUACGUUUUGGGUUUUUGCAAAAAUGUAUUUUUUUUUAUUGUUUUUAAUCCAGUAAUAUCCCGACUUCUUAAAGUGUUUGUUGUAAUAUAACUAUUCCUGCAAACUUGUUUUCGUUAUUUUAAAACAAGGUCAAGUUAUAAUUCAUGUAUCCAUCCAUCCUUUUUCUACCGCUUAUUCCCUUUUUGGGGGCGCUGGUGCCUAUCUCAGCUACAAUCGGGCGGAAGGCGGGGUACACCCUGGACAAGUCGCCACCUCAUCGCAGGGCCAAGACAGAUAGACAGACAACAUUCACACUCACAUUCACACACUAGGGCCAAUUUAGUGUUGCCAAUGUAAUUUACUGUAAAUGGUCCCUAUUUUCAAAUUUUCCAUCCCAUCCAUCCAUUUUCUACCGCUUAUUCCCUUUCGGGGUCGCGGGGGGCGCUGGUGCCUAUCUCAGCUACAAUCGGGCGGAAGGCGGGGUACACCCUGGACAAGUCGCCACCUCAUCGCAGUGCAGGAUGUUAUAUUUUAUGAAAGUUAUUUUAACAGGGAUUUUUUUCACUUUGUUUUCUCACAAAUUCUAGUGAACUUUGUAUUUUUGUCUUUUCUCUCCUAUUAUAAUUAUUUAAACAUUUUAUUGAUCGUCUUUAUACUCCAAAUUGUUUUUUUCUCAGUACAUUUACGUUUUGGGUUUUUGCAAAAAUGUAUUUUUUUGUAUUAUUUUUAAUCCAGUAAUAUCCCGACUUCUUAAAGUGUUAAGUUAUAAUCCAUGUAUCCAUCCAUCCAUUUCCUACCGCUUAUUCCCUUUCGGGGUCGCUGGUGCCUAUCUCAGCUACAGUCGGGUGGAAGGCGGGGUACACCCUGGACAAGUCGCCACCUCAUCGCAGGGCUAACACAGAUAGAUAGACAACAUUCACACUAACAUUCACACACUAGGGACCAUUUAGUGUUGCCAAUGUAAUUUACUGUAAAUGAUCCCUAUUUUCAUGUUUUUUUCAAAUUUUCCAUCGCAUCCAUCCAUUUUCUACCGCUUAUUCCCUUUCGGGGUCGCGGGGGGCGCUGGCGCCUAUCUCAGCUACAAUCGGGCGGAAGGCGGGGUACACCCUGGACAAGUCGCCACCUCAUCGCAGUGCAGGAUGUUAUAUUUUAUGAAAGUUAUUUUAACAGGGAUUUUUUCACUUUGUUUUCUCACAAAUUCUAGUGAACUUUGUAUUUUCUCUCCUAUUUAAAUUAUUUAAACAUUUUAUUGAUCGUCUUUAUUGACUUUAUACUAUAAUUUGUUUAUUUCCUCAGUACAUUUACGUUUUUGGUUUUUGCAAAAAUGUAUUUUUUGUAUUAUUUUUAAUCCAGUAAUAUCCCGAUUUCUUAGUGAUUGUUGUAAUAUAACUAUUCCUGCAAACUUGUUUUCUUUCUUUUAAAACAAGAUCAAGUUAUAAUCCAUGUAUCCAUCCAUCCAUUUCCUACCGCUUAUUCCCUUUUGGGGUCGCUGGCGCCUAUCUCAGCUACAGUCGGGCGGAAGGCGGGGUACACCCUGGACAAGUCGCUACCUCAUCACAGUGCAGGAUGUUAUAUUUUAUGAAAGUUAUUUUAACAGGGAUUUUUUUCACUUUGUUUUCUCACAAAUUCUAGUGAAUUUUGUAUUUUUGUCUUUUCUCUCCUAUUAUAAUUAUUUAAACAUGUUAUUGAUCGUCUUUAUACUCCAAAUUGUUUUUUUCUCAGUACAUUUACGUUGUUUGGUUUUUGCAAAAAUGUAUUUUUUUGUAUUAUUUUUAAUCCGGUAAUAUCCCGACUUCUUAAAGUGUUUGUUGUAAUAUAACUAUUCCUGCAAACUUGUUUUUGUUCUUUUAAAACAACAUUAAGUUAUAAUCCAUGUAUCCAUCCAUCCAUUUCCGACCGCUUAUUCCCUUUUGGGGUCGCGGGGGGCGCUGGUGCCUAUCUCAGCUACAAUCGGGCGGAAGGUGGGGUACACCCUGGACAAGUCGCCACCUCAUCGCAGUGCAGGAUGUUUUAUGAAAGUUAUUUUAACAGGGAUUUUUUCACUUUGUUUUCUCACAAAUUCUAGUGAACUUUGUAUUUUUUGUCUUUUCUCUCCUAUUAUAAUUAUUUAAACAUUUUAUUGAUCGUCUUUAUACUCCAAUUUGUUUUUUUCUCAGUACAUUUACGUUUUUGGUUUUUGCAAAAAUGUAUUUUUUUGUAUUAUUUUUAAUCCACUAAUAUCCCGACUUCUUAAAGUGUUAAGUUAUAAUCCAUGUAUCCAUCCAUCCAUUUUCUACUGCUUAUUCCCUUUUGGGGGCGCUGGUGCCUAUCUCAGCUACAAUCGGGCGUAAGGCGGGGUACACCCUGGACAAGUCGCCACCUCAUCGCAGGGCCAACACAGAUAGACAGACAACAUUCACACACUAGGGCCCAUUUAGUGUUGGCAAUCAUCCCCAUGUAAUUUACUGUAAAUGAUCCCUAUUUUCAUGUUUUUUUUCAAAUUUUCCAUCCCAUCCAUCCAUUUUCUACCGAUUAUUCCCUUUCGGGGUCGCUGGUGCCUAUCUCAGCUACAAUCGGGCGGAAGGCGGGGUACACCCUGGACAAGUCGCCACCUCAUCACAGUGCAGGAUGUUAUAUUUUAUGAAAGUUAUUUUAAAAGGGAUUUUUUUCACUUUGUUUUCUCACAAAUUCUAGUGAACUUUGUAUUUUUGUCUUUUCUCUCCUAUUAUAAUUAUUUAAACAUUUUAUUGAUCGUCUUUAUACUCCAAUUUGUUUUUUUCUCAGUACAUUUACGUUGU